rnacentral:rRNA from 1 species
UUCGGGACGCCGGCGAGUGGCGAACGGGUGAGUAACACGUGGAGACCUGCCCUGGGGUGGGGGAUAACAACUGGAAACGGUUGCUAAUACCGCAUACGCCUUACGAGGGAAAGAUUCAUUGCCCCUGGAGGGUUCCGCGUCGGAUUAGCUUGUUGGUGGGGUAACGGCCUACCAAGGCGACGAUCCGUAGCUGGUCUUAGAGGAUGAUCAGCCACACUGGAACUGAGACACGGUCCAGACUCCUACGGGAGGCAGCAGUGGGGAAUAUUGCGCAAUGGGGGCAACCCUGACGCAGCGAUGCCGCGUGGGUGAAUAAGGCCUUAGGGUUGUAAAGCCCUUUCAGUGGGAACGAUGAUGACGGUACCCACAGAAGAAGCCCCGGCUAACUCCGUGCCAGCAGCCGCGGUAAUACGGAGGGGGCGAGCGUUGUUCGGAAUUAUUGGGCGUAAAGAGCGCGUAGGCGGCUUGUCAAG